rnacentral:misc_RNA from 1 species
AGAUUUAGUGUUCUCAGCCCUCUUUCUUUCUUUCCACGCCUCCGAUACCGACAGGCACAUACAGAAGUAAAAAAAGAAAAUCGCUCAUUUGCCAUCAUUGAAACUUUUCUCUCUGCCACCUCCCGAACAUCGUUCACCUUUAUUCAGCCAUGUCCGCGAUGCAGCUGCUGAUUGUCGCCCUGGCCGCGUGCCUGUCGGUGGCGGCGGCAAAGUCCAAGGAGGAGUUCCCGCUUGUGUGGGUGUGCCUCGGCAUCACGGUGGUUGGCGUGAUUGCGGCACUGUACGUUGCGUACAAGCGCCCUGAUGAGCUGCACCUGCCCGGGUCCGUGGUGAUGACGGCGGUGGAGAGCGACCCCGGCAACGGCAAGAGCGUCGCAGAGAACGUCUAAUGUCCUCUGCAUGUAGGAUUGCCUUUUCCAGGAUAGUAGUGCGAUUGUCGAGCGAGCUGCACGCUUGCCUGUGUCGCACGUACAGGCCCGCUCUCGGUCGACGCAACCCGUGCGCGAAGGCAUUGCACUCCUAUCCCUUUUUUUCUCCUUAAGUGUUUUUAUGCUUCUUUUUUUUUCGUGCUUGUGCCGCGCUUGUGCGUGAGUAACUGACUUCGGUCGGGUUUCGAGCGCCGCGCUUUUCUUUUCGCUUCCGCUCCACGUUGGCGCAGUUGUGGUCAUACCUGCUGUCCUUUUCAGUUCUUCGCAUUCCUCUCUGCGCUUGUAAGGGCUCACACGAGGCAAGAUCACGCGCUCUGAUGAUGGAACAUGUAUGGUGAUGUGCUGGAGUACUCUUGGCGUGAUUGGUAGAGUACCAAAACGAACAAGACAGAGACCAGCAAAUGGUGGAGGUAUGCUGCCAGCUACAUAACGUAGCAGAACAUGCGUUCGCCCUUUCCCGCUUUUAUUGAGGUCAACACCUCCAAUCGAUAAAGGAGCGUGCUCUGGACUUCCUCUGGUGUUCAAGCCCCAGUGUCCACUACAGGUUUGUACACUUCAGCACAUACCCUAACCACAUCGACAAGAAGACGCCACACUUUUUUUCUCCCAGCUUUCUGUUCCUCUAUAUCUUUCUCUCUUGGCACAGGCUGCAAUACGUUUCGUAUUCUGAACAGCUUCGUGCGUUUUCCCCAUCCACUGUUGUACACGACAGGCAGUCUCUUGUCCCAGAGAUUGCGCAAGCGUAAGCACACGGCGCACCUAUAUGGCAGCGGCUGCUCCGUAUGCGCUUCUUUUCUUUUUUUUUUCCGUUGGCCAAUAAAAGAAACACUUCGGUAGUGUGGCAUGUAUGCCUAAAGUACCACGAGCCACGCAGAGCCAUCUGAAACGUGUGCCGCUGUGCCGCUCGUGCACAGGAGAAAACAAAUCAAAGAAACAAACAUGCGGUGUAGACGGCGGGCCCAAAAAGCGUCUCUUCGCACAGACUCCGCAGACAUCAUGCGAAUAUGAAAUCCCACGCUGCAACGCAGGUUCCCACCUUUUUGUUGUUACCCACGGCAACAGAGGCAUUGCCUGGAUCACUGUGGCAUGUUCGCAGCGCACGUCUUUCAGUUUCUCCCCUGCAAAAGGGGCGCUGCCGCUCUACUGACCCUCCCCUGCCUGUCCCUCUCUCCGCUUCCUCUUCCGUUUGGGCUCACCUCGACACUGCCAUGCCACUCCUUCG